rnacentral:rRNA from 1 species
GACGAACGCUGGCGGUGUGCUUCACACAUGCAAGUCGAACGAGGUAGCAAUACCUAGUGGCGGACGGGUGAGUAAACGCGUGGGAAUCUGCCUUUAGAUGGGGGAUAACGGGUCGAAAGACUCGCUAAUACCGCAUAUGACGAAAGUUGAAAGGAGUAAAUCCGUCUAAAGAUGAGCCCGCGUCCGAUUAGCUAGUUGGUAGAGUAAAAGCCUACCAAGGCGACGAUCGGUAGCUGGUCUGAGAGGAUGAUCAGCCACAAUGGGACUAGAGACACGGCCCAUACUCCUACGGGAGGCAGCAGUGGGAUUUACGCAAUGGGCGAAAGACCUGACGUAGCGACACCGCGUGAGCGAAGAAGCCCC